rnacentral:misc_RNA from 1 species
GGUUCGAUUAUGGCUCAGAUUGAACGCUGGCGGGAUGCUUUACACAUGCAAGUCGAACGGCAGCACGGACUUCGGUCUGGUAGUGGCGAACGGGUGAGUAAUGUAUCAGGAACGUGCCUGAUAGCAGGGGAUAACUACGCAGCCAGCUAAUACCGCAUACGCCCUUCGGAAAGCGGGGGACCUUCGGGCCUCGCACUAUUAGAGCGGCCGAUAUCGGAUUAGCUAGUUGGUGGGGUAACGGCUCACCAAGGCGACGAUCGUAGCGAAAGCUGGUUUUGGGGAAGGGACGACAAUACCUGGGACUGAGACACAGGCCAGACUCC